UAAGCUUGCAGUGUUGUCGUGAACCAUCAAUUCUUUACCAUGACGUUUACUAGAUGAUGCUAAUUCAGAGUUAGCUAUGGUUCCUUUAGGAAUUUGAUUGAGGAACUUGUGUGACUUCUCAUUAGAUGUUUCUCCUACUAAACUGGAGCUUUUAGUACCAAAAGCCAAAGAACCGCAAGCACUCAUUUUGAGGCGCUUAACCCAUCUACUAGCUGGGUCAUGUCCAAGAAGCCCUUCGGGACAGAAAUCAGUUCUUGAUGAACUGGGUUGUUCAGCACGGGCCAGUAUUGAUCCCAAG
rnacentral:misc_RNA from 1 species